rnacentral:rRNA from 1 species
GACGAACGCUGGCGGCGUGCUUAACACAUGCAAGUCGAACGGAAAGGCCCUGCUUUUGUGGGGUUUUCGCGUGGCGAACGGGUGAGUAACACGUGAGUAACCUGCCCUUGACUUUGGGAUAACUUCAGGAAACUGGGGCUAACACCGGAUAGGAGCUCCUGCUGCAUGGUGGGGGUUGGAAAGUUUCGGCGGUUGGGGAUGGACUCGCGGGUUAUCAGCUUGUUGGUGGGGUAGUGGCUUACCAAUGCUUUGACGGGUAGCCAGCCUGAGUGGGUGACCGGCCACAUUGGCACUGAGAUAGGGCCCAGACGCGUACGGGCGGCAGCAGUGGGAAAUAUUGCACAAUGAGCGGAAGCCUGAUGCAGCGCCGCCGCGUUCGGAAUGACCGCUUUCGGGUUAUAAACCGCUUUCGCCUGUUACGAAGCGGGAGUGACGGUACCAGGUGAAGAAGCACCGGCUAACUCCGUG